rnacentral:lncRNA from 1 species
UGAAAAGGUGGAUGACACAAUGCCUGGACACCUACUUCGGUAGCCCCUGGACUAUCAAAGCUUGGGUUGGUGCUGCUUUGGUCCUUUUCUUUACUGCCGUCCAGACUUAUUUCACAGCCUUCUCUCAUUGAUGCAUUCAUGGCCUGCUUUCUCGCUAUCUAUUGAGUGCUUCUGCAUUUUACCUAGCCUAAAUUCAUGGACUCCAUAUAACCCUUUGAUGUGCAAAGUAAAUUAGGCAAAGAGUCAUUGGUCCCGUUUCUUUGCCAUUUCAGCCUAUUUUCUACCGUCCUUUCCGGGUUUAAAACAAGUAAAAAAAUAAAUGUAUGCUGUGAUCUUAUUUUGGUGUAUUUUGUGCUUAUGUACGCAUAAGUAAUAUUAUGUUUGAUUUAAGUAACUAAAAAUAGACAUGGGUGGACUGUUUUCUUUUUAUGUUUGGAUGCCUAUUAAUGGAUUAUAUUAGGUUGGCAAUUUUAUUUUAUUGAUGUUGUACUCCAUGUAACUUAUUUCCUCGGAUCUUAAUGGUUGGGAUCGGGCAAGUGUUUGAAGAAGUAAGAUAAAGAAAUGAAAACUUCAGAAAAGAAAAAAAAAAAAAGAACCGAAACAAAACAAUGUGAAAAAUGGAGAAAAACCAGACAGGAAUGCAGGAAAUUUUAAUAGAUGAAAGUCAUUUAUUCAUUUUUAAUUGAGAAAAAUAAAAUAUUAAUAUUUUUAUUAGAAAUUUAUUUAUCAAUUCUCUAUUAUAAAAUUUUCUUGGAUUUCAUGGAAAAUAUAUUAAAGAAAUUGACAUUAGCUGCCGGGAACUUAUCUAAAAUUCCUUUUUUUUUUGUGACAAAGAAGCUUCUGAGGAAAGGAUUUUUUUCAAAAGAAAAAUAAAGGAGGGAAGAAGGUAGGUGGUAUGGAAUAGAAGAAUGGAGAAUGGUAUGAAUGUAUUGAUACGAUUUUUAUCUUCUUGGUUGAUUGUGUAAAUAAGAUGGCUGCGUCACAGAAUUUCACGAGUAAGGGAGUAGUAUUUUUUGGAGAAGAAGAGUUUAGUAAUUUAAUUAUUUUUUAUUUAAAUAUUUUAUUUUCUUUCCAGUUUUAAAGAUGAUAUUGGAAAGUUUGACUCGGUAAUAUUAGGUUUAUAUUUGUUCAGAAUAUGUUUAGGGUUUACAACUCAUAAUUUUUGGCAAACAUUUGUCACAACAAUAAUUAGGAAACUUUUAAGAUGUAUUUAGAAGUGAAAAGUGUUUUAAAAAGUGGAAAAAUCUCCAAUAAAAGCAAGAUUGUGUUAUCUAGCUUGAUUUUUUUGUUCUUUGCUUUUCUCUGCUUUUGUUGCAGCUCUUCUGACCAAAAUACUAAUAGUUUCUAUUAAGCAAAAUAAUAAAACAGACACAAGAUGUAGAAUGACAGCACAUGAUAAGAAUCCAUUUUCAUUAAUAUUUAUAUAAAUAAAAAAUUAAUCAAAGAUUAAUAAUAUUUUAUUCUCCUAUUUUAGAAAAUAAUAUUUAUUUUAGAUAAAUCAAGAGCUAUUAAAAAUAUUUUAUUCUCUUAAUUUAGGAAAUGACAUUUGUUUCCUUAAUUUUAAGAUAUUUAUUCUUUCAUUCUUUCUAUAAUUCACAAUGUAUCGUUGUAUAAUUUUUUAAAAAGAAACAAUAAAAAAAUCGUUUUCAUUAGGAAGAAGCUCAAACUUGAGUCCUCUCCAAGAGUGGUCAAAUGCCAGAAAAGGAGUGGUUGAAUAAUAUAGUCAUGAUCAAAAUGGUUGAGAAGACGCAUAUUUCAAAUUGAGGGGUAGAGGCUUCACCCUUUCUAUGUGUUACAAUUCUUACAAAAAAAAUUCUUUUAUGUUUUUAUCGAAUCUCUAUCAAAAAAUGAUGUCUUCACCAUGUUUAAGAGUAAUCAAAUAUUAAUAAUAUUUUAUUUUCCUAAUUUAAGAAAUAAUAUUUAUUUUAAAUAAAUCAAGAGCAAUCAAAUAUUAAUAAUAUUGGGUUAAAUACACUUUACCUUCUCAACCAAUGGUAGUUCUUUUUUUCCCGCACUGUUUUGCUUCAUUUUUGUCUUUGAUAGCUAAGAAAAUUUCUAGACAAAGAAUAAAUAUUAAGUGAUGAGGUGUUUAUAUCGGUUAGGGUUUUCUUUUGAUAGUUGAAAAAAUUUUGGGAAAAAGUUUAAAUUUUAGGUGUUUAGGGUUAAGGUUUUCUUUCCAUAGUUGAGAAAUUUUAUGAAAAAAAACAGAUUUAGGUGUUUAGGUUUCCUUUUCAUAGGUGUUUAUUUAUAGUCAAUUUAGCUUUCUUAUGACAUUUUUUUUUUGUUUCUUUUCAUCAACAUUGCAUCUAUAUAUUUAUCUAAUAUGAAUUUUAUAUUAUAUGUUUGCAAAUAAACCACCUAACUAUUUUACCAUCAAUUAUGAAGGGCGAUUUAGGGGUGAUAUGAGACAUGUAUUUAAGAAUAGUGAUUAUUUGGGUGGAAAAGUGGAUUAUGUUGAUAAUUGUGACAAUAAUGUAAUGUUUUUGAUUGAGUUGGAUCAUAUAUUGUUUUUAUUAAGAUAUAAAUAUUGCAUUGAAUAUUUCUAUGCUAAUAAGAAAGUGAGAAAAUAAAAGCUAAACCUUAAUAGAAAAAACACCCAAGGGGGAGGGAGGUGAAUUGGGGUUUAAAUUUUUUGUUUUUAAGCACAAUGAAUUCAUGUAAAGGAAUCACAAAUAUAAAGAAAUAAGGAUAAAAAAAACUUAGAUUUUAUAGUGGUUCGGCACCCUUUACUUAUGUCAACUCUCCUCAAGUUCCUAAUCGAGUGAAGGUUCCAUUAUACUUGAAGCUUCAACCAAGCGUCCAACCUUUCAGACCUAGAUUUUGGCUCUAAUGAGUUAUUACACAAUUCGUUCAAAUUUCUACUCACUUGAAGCUUCUAACACUCAAAUAAGAAGUUUAAAUCUGUCAACUAAGCUCAAUAAGAGAUCAAAUACAACUAAAAUACUAGGAUAAAUAACAAUGGUGCACUAAAAGAAUAUGCAACCGAGGAUUUUAAUGCAUCAAGGAGAGAAUGAGAGCUUUUGAAUCAAGAACUGGUAAUUAAACAAAUAAAUGUAGGUGUUCUUAUCUUCGUUAAUGAAAGAAAGCUCCCAAUUUAUAGGUUUCUAGCCUUGGGAGCCAAAAUAUCAAAAAAUAGCCUCGACUGGUCAAGCUAUAGGUCGAGCGGUUGACUAGCCAUUGGGCAAUUAAUGCAUGACCGGUGACUAAUAGGCCUCAACUAGACCUUGAUCGGGCCAUGACUGGGAAGGCAUACCCCUCGAUUAGGAAUGCAACACUACUAGAAGAGAGAGAAGAUUUUUUACAUCUCUCGAUCGAUCCUCGACCGGGAAGACAUAAACGGUCGAUCGGUACUUUAACCGAUUGAUCAGUGCCUUGACCAGUUUACCUUUUUUGGCCUAAAAAUCUGUCAUUUUUUUUUGUUGUUUUUGCUUUUAACACCUAGGUAAGGUCUCUAGUCACCGAGUAUGUCAAUUUUCAAACAAUUUGCUUAAGGUUCAUUUGAUAAAACUCGGAUUUUAAUCAAAUGUGUCUUUAAUGCACUUAGGAUAUGGAAAUCCUAAGUGUACCCAUGUAUUCAACUUACAAACGGUUCCUAAGAUUAAAAUAUCUUCUUUGUGCCUUGAUCUUGAAUCUAUUGGAUCCUUUGAUGAAUUUCUCGGAUCUUGAUCUUGAAUCUUGAAUCUAAAUAGACAGGACUAAGGUGGUGUUUGUUUUUUUUACUUAAUUCUAAAUAGAACCUUAAUACUUAAUAGCAUUAAAUAUUAGGUUAUUUGUUUUUAUAGUAUUUUAUUUCUAUUAAGUAUUAAAAAGUAAAAAAAAAAAACCAAUAUGUUAUUUUUUUUAUUUAGAAAAAGUUACAUAUUUUGGCUUUUUUUAUUUAGUAAAAAGUUUAUAAUAAGUCAUGAAAAAAUAAAAAAACAAACAACCUAAAUUCUAAAACUAAAUUGCUUUCAGCAAAAAGCCAAAAAAACAAACACCACUUAAGCCUCUUUGUUGUCAUUUUUUUCAACCUUGGUGCCAAUCAUAUGUCCGGUAUUAAUUUACUCAUGAUGUGAUCUUGAUUCAUUGAUUACGAUAUAGUUUAUUUGUGGUAGAAUUUUGGGAAAAUUAAUAUAAAAAAUAUCUAAGAAAUGAAUUUGAUGAUCAAAUAAUCCAAGAAAAAAAGCAUCAAAUUUAUGAUAUGUAUAAUGAAAGAUGCAUUUAAGUAAAUUAAUAAGCUCGAACCCUUCCCAAAACCAAGGAGACACGCAUUAGCCUAUUUUAUGUGCUUCACUUGCUGUAUAUUAGUAGGUGUAUGAAUAGAUUAAUCUUUCUGAAGAGAAAAAAGAAGAAGAAGAAGACUUGAGUGCUCCUUUUUAAAUGUUAAAUGACCUUCCCUUUGGAUAUCAUUAUAUCAACAUGGACUAGCUGGCAGCAGCCUGUUGCCUACUCGAUUGGAAUUAUGGAGCUUGCAUGCAAUGAGCUGGUGAUUCAUAUUUCACAGGUGGGAUGUAACUUUUUUCUUUUUUUAAUAAAUGAUAAGAAUAUCUCACAUAUAAAAUAAAAAGAGAAAAUUAACCUAUACGUGGAAACUAUUCUCAAUAAUAAUUUUUUGUUUUUUAAACAUAAAAAAAUAUGAAAACUCAGUUGCCUGUAAUUAUUUCCAAAAUAGGUUGUAAUAAUACCUUUUAAUUAUUUUUGGUUAAUUUUAUUUAUUAUUUGGAGCUAUUUUUAAAUGUAAUUUUAGAAAUAUGAAAAAUGAUUGAAAUUUAUAAAAGGGUACAUAAAAGAAUAUUUUGAAAACAUACAAUAUUCAAAAUUACCAAAGAAGCUUUUAUUAUACCAUAGUAAAAUUAUUUUUGAUAAUUAAUCUCAAAAACCAUCUUUUUAUAACUAUUUUGAAAAGUAUUCUCUAACAAACCUUAUGCUUUUAGGGAGGAAUGGUAAUAUUUUAAUAAAAAUUAUAAAAUAUGAAUAUUAAUAUUUUAGUAAAGUUAUAAAUUAUAUUUUUUUUUGUUAAAAACAAAUAAAUUUUUUUAGAAAAUGAUAAUAGUUAAUAAUAUCUUAUUUAAACUGAAUUAUGAAAAUAAGUAUAAUUUAUUUUUCAAAAUAUGCAAUAAAUGAAUCAAGUUUUGAUCACGUACACAUAUUCAUUCCCUAAUUACAAGUAUUCUGAACCAGUUUAGUCCCACAAAAAUUUUAUAAUAAUUAGCAUAAUUUUUUAGUUUUAAUUUAUUUUUAAAAUAAAAGCAUGGAACUAGAUUGAAUCUUUCUUGGGAAUCCCCAGCAAUGCUGGAGGUUGUGGAGUGGCGGGAAAUCAGGGUCAAUUUCAAUCAAACGUGUAUCUCUUUGUAUGCUUAAAAUAAAAAAAAAAAUCUCGAUAAAUCAUCUCUUUCAAUUACAAAUAACUGUUAUUGAAUUAUUAUUAUUAUUAUUAUUCGUAAUAUAAUUCAAUUAACUAUUUGCUGGACACCUACAGUGUUACACCCGACUAAGGGGAAAAGAAAAAGAUCAUACAAGUUAAAGUUAAUUAAUUUGACAAAAAAAAAAAAAAAUCAAAUUUGUUUCAUCAUCUCAAGAUGUCAAGGGUGAAGACUACUACUAUGCGCCAAAACUCAUUUCUUUGGGUCCUUACCACCAUGGCAAGCCCACCUCAAGGAUGGAGAAACGCUCAAGCUUAAAUUGGCAGAAGCCUACAUCCAAGAAUGUGUGCCAAGAGUGGAUGAAAUUUACCACACAAUUAGCGAAAGCAUUAGUGAGCUGAGGGGCUGUUAUAAUGCGGAGUCCACAAAGAAAUAUAAGGAUGACGAAUUAACCAUCAUGAUGCUGGUGGACGGGUGUGCUUUACUCUGUUACAUUUUAUGCGUUUGCUUAGGUUAUGGCCAUGAAGAUUUCAAUAUCAGAUAUCAGAAAAUGAAAAUUUGGAAGGUCCUUCGUCAUCGGAAACUGAAAUUGGCCGGAGGCUGGGUAGAGCAUCAGUUAGAGAUGUGAAGGAGGUUAUGGCAUCAUUUAGAAAUGUGAAGGAGCUGAUGGACGCUGGAAUCCGCAUCAAGCGCAAUCCUACACGUCACUUGAGGGACAUUUCUUUCCGUUCAAAUGGGAUCACCGCAUGCCUGAGAAUUCCUCCCAUCACCAUUGAUAACUCAACCAAGGCUAUGUUCUUGAACUUGAUAGCCUAUGAAAUGAGCUCAGACGUCGACCAUGACUUCAUCUCUUACCUUCGCUUCCUUGAUUCCCUCAUUGAUCAUGCUGAUGACGUUAAGGAGCUGCAGUCCAUCGGGAUACCAAAACAAUCUAGGAACCCACGAAGAAGUGGCUCAAUUCUUCAACACCGUGUCCGCCAACUUGGAAUCCAACUUUCAUGCUUACAAAGACGUGAGAGUGAAAAUUCGGAAGCACCUUCAGAGUCACUAUAACAGCAAACUGACGAUGUGGAUGACACAAUGCCUGGACACCUAUUUCGGUAGCCCCUGGACAAUCAUAGCUUGGGUUGGUGCAGCUUUGGCCCUAUUCCUUACUUUCGUCCAGACUUACUUCUCAGUCUUCCCUCAUUGAUGCAUGCCUGUCCUGUUUUCAACUAUCACCAUCUCAAUUAAGGUAGUAUCCACUCCAAAUUUCCUUGUUUUUCUCGCUAUCUGCAUUUUACCUAGUCCAUGUAAAUUAAGCAAAGACUCAUUGGCUUCAUGCGCUUUUGACCUUACCUCUUUUGUGUUUUUGGUUUCAGCCUAUUUUCUACAUUGCUUUCCGUGCUUAAAUUAAGUAAAGAAUGACUAUGUAGUGUGACCUUAGUUUGGUGUAUUAUGUGCUAUCGCAAGCAUGUGCUAUGCUUGUAUAUGCAUCAUCAGCAGUAUUAUGUUUGAUUUAAGUACGUAAAUAAAGAUAGAUAUAGGUGGAAUAUUUUUUUUCUAUGUUUAUAUUCCUGUUAAUGUAUUAUAUAUAUAUGUUAGGUCGGCAAUUUUUUUUAUCUCAUACCAUUUUUAAUUAAAUCAUUCUUAAACUAUAGUUACUAAGCCAAAAAUUAUAAUGCUCUAGAAAUAUAAUCAAUCUCAUUGUCGAAUUUUUCUAAAAUAAUCUCAGAAUAAGCCCAAUAUCUCUAAUAAUAUGUUAUUUAAGGCACAUAAUAUUCCAAAAAGAAAAUUCUGCAAAAGAAAAAGAAAUUUGUUGAGAAGUGGUUUAUUUUAGUUAAUAUGAACAAAACAACAUUUUGUCCGAUGGAAAUUUGACUAAUGCUUGUAAGUACCGAUUUGUAAAUAUUUGUGGGGGGAGUUUCUUUUGACAACCGAUGGAGCAAUUCAGGUCAUGCAACACUUAUUUGACAACAUUCUAAAAUAAUGUUGUUAAAAAUAUUUAAGAAUGGUUCUGAAAAUAUAUUUUACUUGUUCUUAGGAAUAAAAUUCAACUUAUUUGACAAUAUUCUUAAGAAUAUGCUUUAUCUGUUUUUACUUUUUAGGAAUAAAAUUCCAUUUAAGAAUUAAAAUAUGAAAUACGGCUUUUCAGCCUUGUCCUUCACAAAGGCAUGCGCAGUGGACCUAUAAUGCAAGUUCUUUUUUGUUCUUUUUUAAAACACUUGCAUAAUUUUCUUAAAGAUUAUUUUCAAAAAAUUUUAAAUUUGAUGUAAUAAUUCAUAAAAUUUUCCUUGCAUGUAAUGAAAAACUCGGAUUAUUUGUAUGUUAUAAAAGUUAAAAUUUAUUUAUUUUUAAAUUAAUUUUAUAUCAAAUAUUAUUAAUUAUUAUUAUUUUAAAAAAAUUAUUUUUUUUAAAAUAAAUAAAUUAUACUUUUAUAAAAAUAUUAAUAUCCAUAUUUUUAUAAUAUAUAUUAAAAUAUUUUUUUUAUGAAAAAUAUAAUUUUAUGACUUUGUUAUAAUAUUACUAUUCAUAUUUUACUAGACAUUAUUUUGUUUUAUUUAUUUGUGAUAACAAAAAAUAUUUUCAUUUUUAAUCAAACUUAAAUUAAAUCUAAUUAAUAUGGUAUAAAUUGAAUUUAUAAUAUUUUUACAAAAUAAAAAUGGAAAAAAAAAAUAAAACCAAUUUAUUCAAAUAAACUUUUUUUUUCUAAUUAUUUUUAAAAACAAUUUAUCUAACACUCUUAUUUUUAUAAAAUGUUAAAAAUAUAUAUAUAUAUUUAAAAAAAAAAAAAAAAAAAAACAUGUUCACACAAAAUGUGCUAUUUUUUACCAUUCAGGUGUUAUCCCUUACUGAUGUAGAUAAAAGAUACGCAUAAAAUUAAAAAUGAUUUUUGGACUGUUGCUAUUUUGAUGGGUUUUUUUUUUUUCAAAUGAAACAUGCUUUUUCCCUUUUUGCCCCCUCUCUGAUUGAGGGUUUGUUUUAUUUCACUCUCAUGGAGAGCCCUCUCCAUCUGCCAGCCAACCUGACAAGUCUGAACUGCUCUUUAAGUCUUUCAUUAAUGACACAACUAACUCUCACAGCAGGCGUUGUAAUUGAUAGAAUCAAGGACAGGACAUGGAGUAAUUUGUUUUACUCCAUUUGCCAACUAAUCUGACAAGUUUGAAACACUCUUUAAUGCUUUGUUUUUCGUCUUUCAAUCAUGACACACCCAACUCUCCAUCAGGCGUUGCAAUUGAUACAAUCAAAGAUGGGACAGGUAUUCAUAGAGGCUUCUUUUUUUCUACACCUCUAUAACCACCCAUUUAAGAUAACGUAUAUUUAUCAAAAUCAAACAUUUACUACAUAAUUGUUUGCGAAACCAUUGAACACUACGAUUUAUUACAUUAUAAAUAUAAACAAGCCAGAUGAACCCAGUCACUCACAACGUAGCCUAUCAUAAUUUCUAUUUUUUUUUUCAUUUGAAUUAAAUUAAAAUUUUCAUAAUAUAAUACUUUAAUUUUUAUUUUGAAAUAAUAGGUGUUGCAUAAUUUGUUUUACUUUACUGGUAGGUUAUGAAUUAUUAUUAUUAUUAAUAUAAUUCAAGUAACAUUUUGUUGGAAACUCAAAGCUUUAUAUGUGACCAGGUAGGAAAAAAAAACACCUAUGAAGACCUAAAAUUAAUGUAAUACCAAUUCAAAUUAUAUAGACAAGUGAGAGGUAAGUGAAAACAAUAAAUAAGAAGAAUAAAAAAGGUGAAAAAUAACAAAUAAAAAAAAUAAGAGAGAGAGUUGAUUAAAUUUUAAAUUAAUAGUGGUUAAGUAUAGUUAACCUAUAUAUUAAGGGAUGUGAGUAAAAUUAAUUUUUUAAAAGUAUUGAAUGUAACCAAAAACAUAAAUAAGGUACUAGAAGUUUUGAAUAAACGUGGAUGUGAGAAAUGGUAUAUUCAUCAAAAUCAAAUAAAAUUGUUGAGAAAACUAUUAAACUAUGAUAUAUAUAUAAUGUAUUAGAAUCUUAUAAAAAUUAUAAGGACCUAUUUAUUAACAAAGUAUCUUACCAUAAAUUUUUAUUUAAAUUAAAUCAAAAGAUUUGACAAUAAUGACUUGCUAUUUGUUGGGCCUAUGUGUGCAGAUCACAGGAUUAUUCGUCAUUGGAUGUUGUUUGGUCACUGCAGUUUACACAUUUGAGGAUGUUUGGUUUAGACAAGUGUCACUGACAGAUUUGUAAACUUAUUUUUUAAAGUAUUUAGGGUUUAUUUAAUCUAUAUUUUGCACAAAAUUGGCAAAGAGAAGAGAUUGUUAAUUAGUGCAUUAGACUACUUGUUUAGAUUUACAAUUUUAUUCAAUUCAUUCUAACUUAAAACUUUUCUAGGCUACUAUGUUUUAUUCUUUAUUGAAGAUUUAAAAUUACUACGUGAUCAAUCGAGAUAAUACAGGCAAGUGUAAAGAUGUACAAGAAAUGUUAAUUGAGAUUGGUUAUAGUGUGGAAUGGAUAGGCUUUUGAUUUUAAAAUUAUGAAAAAGGUGAGUGUUUUUCGAUCCCAAUGCUCAAGCACUCCUUAGACUACUUAAAUGCUUAAGCCAAAAUUAUGUGAAAUUCUAAAAUAUUGUUUUUUUCAUAUUUUGAAUAAUGUUUUUUUUUUUGGGGGGAAAUUUUAGAUGUCAUCCCCCUCUUUUUUUUUCUCUUUAAUGCAAACUUUGAAAAAAAAAAUUAGUCCGAGUAUUAGUUUUUCCACAUUCUAAACUAUUAGAAGUUUGUUUUCUCAUUCAUGGGUUUGUGAGAGACAUCUACAUCCAUUUUAGGCAUUGAAGUGGUCCUCUGAGUGCAUGUGUGGUGCUGCGUUAUAAACGUGAAAACUAAUAUAUGUAUUAAGGAGUAAGACUUAGGAAUAACAUCGAAAAUCUAUAUACCUUUUGUUUUAAUAGUGGAUUUGUACUUUGCAUAUUUUGACCUUGUGAUUUUUACACCUGCAUAAUCUUUAAAAGACUGGGAGUCAUUUCCAAGUAAAUGUUGUUAUAUCUCCAACAUAAUCUUUGAAAGACUGUAGGAGUAGUUUCCACGUAAAUGUUCUUAUAUCUUCUAUAAUUGAUUUUUCUUUACAUUUCAUAAAUAUUAAAAAGGAAAUAAAAAUAAAUAUUUUAGGAUAAAAAGAAGUAAAUACCUGUUGACUUCCUUUAGUUUCAUAACCAAGAUCUACAAACCAUGAGUGUUGCAUGUGAAAAGAAAUAUUUAUUUAUUUUGGGCUAAAAUAAAUAUUUUUCUUUCAAUUUAUUUUACUGUAAUGGUAGGUGGUGAAUUUAUUUUAGUUCACAUGUGAAAAGAAUGGGCCCUCAUCUGCCAUUUUGGACAAGUUGGUUCACUGAUGUGAUGGUAAGGUCAAUUUGUAGUGGAAAGAUUAGCUUAAUUUUGAGUACUCAUUAAAAGGUGGAGAUAAUCUUGUUCUAGACAAAAAUUAUUCAAUCAGUCCAAGAUUUUUUUAAUCUUUAUAAAAAUAAAUAAAAUCUAGAUAUGGAAUCAGUCACGCGGAUGCUAUAAAAUCUGAAAAUAUACCAAAUCAAUGUCACAUCCCAUUCAAAUUUUGAAAAAGAUAUAAGAUGAAUUAAUAAAAUUAUAUGAAAGAAUGUAAAAUACAUGUUGAAAAGUGAAAACGAAUAAUUACAUUGAAUCAAAGAUAAAAAUUGAAAACUGAUGCGUAGAAAGAAAAUGACCUGAUGACUUGGGGAAAGAAAAGGGAUUCAAGUCAACUUUUGACACAAAAAAAAGAAAAAAAAAAAGAAAGUAUAGAGAUAUCUAGUAGUACUAUCUCCAGCUAUCUCAUUCUCAUACUAACAAUGGCUGGGAAGGAGGUGGUGGUUUCAGUGGAGGAGCAGCAGGAAGUAGCUACUAAACAGUCUGAAAAAUCUGCGGAUGGCAGUGAUCAUUCGAGAACCUUGGCUGACUUAAAAUCCAAAUUUCGCCGAUCUCCAUCAUCACCGUCAAGUCCAAAGCUACAAUGUCCCAAGGUUCCAAAGAAGUUGCGAUCAGCUGUCAAGGAGGAAGACUACUAUGCCCCAAAACUCAUUUCUUUGGGUCCUUACUACCAUGGCGAAUCCCACCUCGCGAAUGGAGAAACGCUCAAGCUUAAAUUGGCAGAAGCCUACAUCCUAGAAAUUACUGUGUCACAAGGGAACUCAGUCGAGCAGUCAGUCGAUAACAUUUACCACAUGAUCAGAGAUCGCAUUGAUGAGCUGAAAGGUUGUUAUGACUAUCAGGAGUCCAGAAAGAACUAUAAGGAAGACGAAUUCACUGCGAUGAUGCUGGUGGACGGGUGUGCUUUACUGUGGUACAUUUUAUGUGUUUGCUUAGGUGGUGACCAUGAAGAUUACGAUAUCAGAUAUCAGGAUCUAAGCCUUCUUCACCAGGAUGCGUUGCUGCUGGAGAACCAACUUCCCUAUCAAUUACUACAGGAGCUGAUGAAGAUGGCGGUCCCAGAAUCGGCCAAUAAAGCUUGGACAGUACUAUUCCAGGAAUUCUUUGGCAUGAUCGACGAGUCAUUCUUCCAAGAAUUCUUUGGUAUAAAGGAGAAGGAGUACUCAUUCCUGCCAAAAAUGAAGAAUUAUUGCUGCCGCAUGUUCCUGGCAAUCAUCCAAAUUAUUAACAGGAAACCAAAGCUGAAACCUGGUGAAGAGUCGGAGCCGAAACCUGAUGUAGAGUCGAAGAUGAAACCUGAUGUAGAUUCGAAGAUGAAACCUGAUGAAGAGUCGAAGCCGAAACCUGAUAAAGAGUCGAGGCUUUGUCAUCAUCUCCUCGAUCUCUACCGAAGAAAUUUCCUAGGCGAUGAACGUUCUAGCGCAACGCAUUCGGAGGCUGAAAAUGGCAAGAAGGGUCCGGGAUCAGUUGGAGAUGUGAAGGAGCAGGUUAUGGCAUCAUUUAGAAAUGUGAAGGAGCUUAUGGCCGCUGGAAUCCGCAUCAAGCGCAGUCCUACACGUCACUUGAGGGACAUUUCUUUCCGUUCAAAUGGGAUCACCGCAUGCCUGAGAAUUCCUCCCAUCACCAUUGAUAACUCAACCAAGGCUAUGUUCUUGAACUUGAUAGCCUAUGAAAUGAGCUCAGACGUCGACCAUGACUUCAUCUCUUACCUUCGCUUCCUUGAUUCCCUCAUUGAUCAUGCUGAUGACGUUAAGGAGCUGCAGUCCAUCGGGAUACUCCAAAACAAUCUAGGAACCCACGAAGAAGUGGCUCAAUUCUUCAACACGGUGUCCGCCAACUUGGAAUCCAACUUUCAUGCUUACAAAGAUGUGAGAGUGAGAAUUCGGAAGCACCUUAAAAAUCACUACAACAGCAAACUGAAAAUGUGGAUGACACAAUGCCUGGAUACCUACUUCGGUAGCCCCUGGACUAUCAUUGCUUGGGUUGGUGCUGCUUUGGCCCUUUUCUUUACUGCCGUCCAGACUUACUUCUCAGUCUUCCCUCAUUGAUGCAUGCAUGCCCUGUUUUCUCGCUAUCUAUUGAGUGCUUCUGCAUUUUACCUAGCCCAAAUUCAUGGACUCCAUAUAACUCUUUGAUGGUUGCAAAGUAAAUUAGGCAAAGAGUCAUUGGUCUCGUUUCUUUUCCAUUUCAGCCUAUUUUCUACCUUCCUUUCCGUGUGUAAAAAAGUAAAGAAGGAAUGUGUGGUGUGAUCUUAUUUUGGUGUAUUUUGUGC